AUAUUUUUGUGAUUGUCAGUCAUAACAGUCGUGAUCAUCGUGUUAGUUUUUGCAUUUCAUUUGGUUUUCUGACCAUUUUAAUUCUAGUAUUCAUGUACCAAACGUACUUUUUUAAUCAGAUUACAUCUGUUGAACAUCGAAAACGAGCAUAACAAAAUCUCAGCUAUGGAUCGAGCAGCAAAAACGAUUUCUAUUGACGAUUCCUGCCAUGUCCAAGCUAGCUGCAGCAGCAUCAUCAUCAUGAAGGAAUUGUGGAUUAUUGGAUUAUCAAACGCAGAGCUCUUAUAAAUUUCGUGGCAAGAAACCAACAAUGUGGCCUCUAUAACCUAUUUCGGUGACCUUCCGGCUUUUUCCAUGAAAGAAAAUGCAAAAGCCUCUGUGUGAUUAUAUUUAAAUUAAGUGCAAUAAUAAAUAUUUAUAACAUAUAUA